GGAUCGAGUUCUGUGCAAUCCCCAGCUUUUUGUUGGUUUGGUCUCCGCAUCUUCUUUCCGACAAAGGGCUGUAUCGCGACCGAUUGCGCCCAGACGCCAAGAGACGGUACUUUCAAAAAAUUGCGUGCAUCGGUAAUGUGGACCCGUAUGAAAUAAGGAAGCGGAGUGGAAACCCAGACGACCUACCCUGGAGGCCCACAUCCAAUUCACGAACGGCUGGGUGCAAGAUUUGUCCAUCUUUAUGCCUCCACGCUGCGACAACUGUACGUUGUCGUUAAGACAAAGGUACUGCACUCACAACGACUGAAUGAAACUGCACUGUGACCUCGUUGUGUGGACACAGAGAG